GUUUUCUGCAGAACUGAGGGAUAAAUACGGACUAGUACUCGCAUUCCAUUGAGCAUGUCCAUGUCCAGUUCCAGUUCCAGCAUCAACAUAAACCCAGUUCUUAUAUUUUCUCGUGGUCACCGGUAGUUCCUCAGUACUUUUCUCGUCGUCUUAAUGGAGUUCAUGAAGAUUAGAGAGAAGAAUCCACUCUCUACAAGUCAUCAACUAACGUGAAAUUACUCGAGUAUCGACCACUGCCGGGUGUGUCAUUCGAUUGGAUAUCUGCAAGAUCGUGUGGUUAAUUGAGGGUGAGAAUUAUAGAGAAAAAGACGUCGCGUGCAAUACAACAGCUUUUCGAAAUCGUUAAGGAAAUAAAACACGAAAUGAAAUAAAACUAAAGAUCUUAUUACUUGGGUUUUAGUUUAUGUUUGACUAUCGCAAGGUGGAAAGUAAACACUAUAAACUUUGUGCUACUACUUAUUAAACUUCAUAUCUACAAGAGUUAUUAUUUUGAUGAAAUUGAAGAUGCUCCUUUCACUUUUUAUUCAUUUGUAUUGUAGGUCCAAAUUACCUACAAUCCAUUAUUCCAACGGGUCAUUCGUGGGCGUCACGAAUCGCACGAGUCAAGAGUCUUGUCUCUCCUCUCUCCUCCAUAUUCGUACAGAAAUAAAAAUAAAUAAAAUAACAAAAACCUAAACGAUUAAAGUCUCAUAUAAGUGUGUUGGUUAUUGAGUAGGUGCAGGCACACAAGGGAUGCCCCGAAUUUAAACCAUUUCUCACUACAUACUCUUGCCUCAUUCUCUUUCAUCCAGACUUUUA